rnacentral:rRNA from 1 species
CCUACGGGUGGCAGCAGUGAGGAAUAUUGGUCAAUGGGCGCGAGUCUGAACCAGCCAAGUAGCGUGAAGGAUGACUGCCCUAUGGGUUGUAAACUUCUUUUAUAAAGGAAUAAAGUGAUCCACGUGUGGCUUUUUGUAUGUACCAUAUGAAUAAGGAUCGGCUAACUCCGUGCCAGCAGCCGCGGUAAUACGGAGGAUCCGAGCGUUAUCCGGAUUUAUUGGGUUUAAAGGGAGCGUAGAUGGGUUGUUAAGUCAGUUGUGAAAGUUUGCGGCUCAACCGUAAAAUUGCAAUUGAUACUGGCAGUCUUGAGUACAGUUGAGGUAGGCGGAAUUCGUGGUGUAGCGGUGAAAUGCUUAGAUAUCACGAAGAACUCCGAUUGCGAAGGCAGCUUACUAAACUGCCACUGACAUUGAUGCACGAAAGCGUGGGUAUCAAACAGGAUUAGAUACCCUUGUAGUC